UAGAUUGAAGUCCGCUGGAUGGGAUGUUUAGUUGUUAAUUAAAAUUUUAUGGGAUCGAGGCCCAUCAAUCUAGU
rnacentral:tRNA from 1 species